rnacentral:rRNA from 1 species
CCUACGGGUGGCAGCAGUGGGGAAUUUUGCGCAAUGCUCGUAAGAGUGACGCAGCGACGCCGCGUGAAUGACGAAGGCCUUCGGGGCGUUAAGUUCUUUCGACAGGGAAGAAAUGCCUGUAAGUAACUGUGUAUGUAUUGACGGUACCUGUAUAGGCAGCCCCGGCUAACUCCGUGCCAGCAGCCGCGGUAAUACGGAGGGGGCGUGCGUUGUACGGAUUGACUGGGCGUAAAGAGCACGUAGGCGGUUUUGUAAGUCAUUAGUGAAAGAAUAGAGCUCAACUUUAGUAAGGCUAGUGAUACUAUAAGACUAGAGUACAAGAGAGGAUGGCAGAAUUCGUGGUGUAGCGGUGAAAUGCGUAGAUAUCACGAAGAACACCGAUAGCGAAGGCGGCAAACU